GUCGGGAAAACGACUCGAUUUUAGUUUUGUAUUUUCUGGUCAUUUGGGCUGAUCUUAUGGGUUUAGUAAUACGAGCAAGAGAAACCCUUAAAUGCAUUUUGGAGCCAGUGCUGUAAGCACAUUUUGGAUUUUCGUAUGUCUUUAGUUUGACUAUCCUUAAAAAGGAGUGGACUCAAACUAAAUGAUGUUCAGUAUUUACCAGCUCUAGGAGACUGUAGUCAUAAAUUUUGAUAAGUAGUAGAACUGUGCUGGAGGUCUGGCUGUAGGGAGGGAGACUUCCUCUAGGAAAGGGGUUGAGGAGGAAUUUGAAAGACAGACCGCAGGUGGCUAGAUGAAGAAGGGAGUGUGAGUCUGGAAUGCAACACUGUGGCAGCCAUUUGUGGACAUACUUUAGGAUAAAUAUAGUUUUUAAAUUGACCUUUCCCUGGCAUCACAAUCAGAAAAGGGACACACACACACACACACACACACACACACACACACACACACACACACAUUCUUUUUCUUGGAACAUUUCCUUUAGAAAACAUAUUUUCUCUGUCCAUUUGAGAUAUAUGUAAAUCUUUUUUAAAAGCCUAGUAUGGUUCUAGUGAUGUAGCUCAACAGUAGAAUGAACCACAAAGCCCUGAGUUAAAGCCCUGAGUAAAAUCCCCAGCACCCUUUUAAAAAAAAAAUAGACUAGGUUGGUCUCUUGCCAGUUUUACAACCACAGAAAAUUUUCCUUAAGGGCCUUGAAACUACCUCUUUCAAAUGUAACAACAUCCCAUCUCCCUGAUUGGUGGGAACUUCCUCUGUGUGUCCAGCUGGAAGUUGUUUCUUGCUUGUCAAAAGAUAUGAGUUUUCCUUUGGAUAAAGUAACAGAUGGCCACCGUGACUACUAGAUGAAUUUAGAAGGAACCCUGUGUCCCAAAUGGUGCUGUCACGUUUUCUUACUUCAAAACAAUGAGAAGGAGAGACAGCAAAAUCCCUGGGACUAACUGCCAGCAGGUCUAGCAGAACCAGUGAGCUCCAGGCCAAUGAAAAGGCUCUGUCUCAACAAACAAGGUGCCUGCAGAGGUUAGAAGAUGGCAUUGGAUCCCCUGGAACUGGAAUUCCAGGUGAGCCACCUGAUAUAGGUGCUGGGAGCCAAACUGGAAGAGCAGCAAGAACUCUGAACUGACUCACUCCAAAUUCAUCCCAACUAGCAAGACUUCAACCAAGAACUCCACAGUAUCAGAUCCAAUCUCCCAGUCUCAUCCCCAACGCUGUGGCAGAGAACCUUCUGCGAUCUCCCUUUCCUCUCUGACCCUAUCCCUGAUGAAUCACAGGGAUCUUCUCCCCUGACCUUCCUUCCCUCAACUCAUCCCGGUAUCCCAGCCUCCAACACCUGCAGGCAUUCCCUGGGAACACAUCAGCUGAGCAGGCCAGGGAAACAGCCCUGACUAGCUUUGAACUCACAAUCUUCCUGGCUCCACCUGUCAGUUUAGAGAUCACAAGUUCAUGCCACUACUAGAGUCACCUCUUCAUUAUUUAAUGUUUGUGCUGCUGGGUGUUGUUGAAGAAGAAAUUCCUUAGUGAUUCAGGCUCCGAACACACUGCCACAAAAUAUGAGUUACUGGGGCCAAGCAACAGGUGGCAAGGAGUCUCUGUGUGGCCCUGAGAGGGCAGGAGGCCUUUUGAAACCAUGUGUGAAGCUGUGAACCUAAAGCCUGCAUUGCAGUGGAGAGCUCAAGAUGCUGAAGAUGCCAGAACCAGGAGACAUCUGCCAAGGACAGCUGUGUACAAGGAGUGGAACCAGCACAAGAGUGAGAUAUGAAAAUGUGAUCUCUCAGCUUCCUGCUCUGGCCAAUUGCUGACAUGCCUUUCUCACCAGUAUGGAUGAUCCCUCUAGAACCAUAAGCUCAAAUAAACUCUUCCUUCUAUAAGCUUCUCCUGGUCACU